rnacentral:lncRNA from 1 species
CGAUGUUUUUGUGCAUGGAUGUUUUUGUGCAUCCCUAACUUGCCCCAUUUCAAUUCUGCAAAUUUGCUUGCGUUUAUUUUACACAGCAGAGUCGAUAAUUUUAUGCGCCGUAUACACUUUGAGUUUGCUUACUGAAUUUUUCAUACAUUAUUACUAACAAUGAGCCCAAGUAUUGUGUGGCAGUACUACGAUAAAAAAGAAAAAGGAAUUGCGAUCUGCGUAAAGUGCGGGAAAUGCUUUAAGUACCACAGCAGCACAACCACGUUAAAAAACCACGUAGAAAAAGUACACAAAAUUAAAAUGGAGCUAAAGGAAUUUAAUUUAUAUAUUUCAAUACCGAAAAUUGUUCCAUUUAUUUAUAGAAAACUGGCAUCAUUGAGCUUGUGGACAACGAUGAUGACAAUGAGCCGAAUCAAAAGAAGUCUAAAUCUGUUUACCCAAUACGAAAUUCCUUUGAAAGAGCAGUAUCAUUUUCUGAUAACAGCACCAAAGGGAAGGAAAUUUCAAAUGCGUUAAUGUAUAUGAUAGUUGUGGACGACAUGCCACUUUGUACACCUGAAAAAAGGGGUUUUUUAAAGUUCUGCAAAACGUUGCAACCUACAUAUAUAUAAAGUGCCUACUGAAAAAACAAUGACGUCAAAAAUUUAAACAAAAUAUAGUGCAAUCCGAUUAAAGGUCAAAAACGAACUCAGUCAGGCGAAAUCUGUAUGACUGACAUCGGUCAUAUGGACAAACUCUUCGACUAUGCAAAGUUAUGUUGGAGUAACUAUACACUUCGUUAAAGAAAACGAUAUGGUUUGUGUGGAGCUUGGGGCUUUUCCAGCU